GCCGGGGUGGCGAAAUGGCAGACGCACUGGACUCAAAAUCCAGCGGUGGCAACACCGUGAGGGUUCGACUCCCUCCCCCGGCA
rnacentral:tRNA from 2 species